UACGUAGGGUGCGAGCGUUAAUCGGAAUUACUGGGCGUAAAGGGUGCGCAGGCGGCGUCGCAAGUCAGGCGUGAAAGCCCCGGGCUCAACCUGGGAACCGCGCUUGAGACUGGAGAACUAGAGUUCGGGAGAGGAUGGUGGAAUUCCCAGUGUAGAGGUGAAAUUCGUAGAUAUUGGGAAGAACACCGAUGGCGAAGGCAGCCAUCUGGACCGACACUGACGCUGAGGCGCGAAAGCGUGGGGAGCAAACAGG
rnacentral:rRNA from 1 species